UUAAUCAAAUAAUUUUCUGUUUACUUUUAAUUUCUAGUUUUCUAAUUUAAUUGUAAUCACAUAAAAUAAGCAAUACAUACAUCAAGAAAAUACAAUCACGUCAUCAUACCAAUUCCAGUAUAUUAUCAUGUAUUUGAAACUGUAAAAUGAACCAAUCAGCUAAACACAGCAAACAGUAAUAAAUAACCGGUUUCGGCUCCAUUAGUGACAUGUAAUUAAUUAUGAAUAUUUUUUAAACUACAUAAAAAACUGUAUUAUUAUCAUAACAAG
rnacentral:lncRNA from 1 species